UCAACAACGGAUCUCUUGGUUCUCGCAUCGAUGAAGAACGCAGCGAAAUGCGAUAAGUAAUAUGAAUUGCAGAUAUUCGUGAAUCAUCGAAUCUUUGAACGCACAUUGCGCCCUUUGGUAUUCCAAAGGGCAUGCCUGUUUGAGCGUCAUUU
rnacentral:rRNA from 1 species